UGUUAAAGGACAGCCGUUCCGUUCUCCGGCCAGGUCUCCUCCCUCACCCUCACCUGGGACACCCACCGUCCUUGGGAAUGAAGGGUUCACUUCUCGGUGCCUGGAGCCUGUUCUCCUCUUUGGCCCAAAACGUCCACCCCCCCGAAAUAACCCCAAGUGCCCUUACCCCCGUGACGGCCUCGGCUGCAAGAACCAGCUCCAGGAGAGUGCAAGUCACCAGCCAGGGGGCAACAGACACAAGCCCAGGAUGCAAGGAGCGGCCCCGGUCCCCGACCUCUCUCUGGACCUUCCGCUGCCCUGAGGUGCUGGGGUCGGGGCAAGAAAACAUGACCCAUUCUGGACUCGUCAGCAGCUCCAAGGAAUGAGGACUUGACAUCCCCUUUAGUCUGUUUCCAAGACCCCAAAGUGCCAUGGUGUUUUGUGCUCACCCAAGGGAGAGGGUCAUGAGGACCCAGGAGCCCUUCCCCACUGACCCCCCAGCACCAGUGUCCCCAGAACAUCAGGAUGCUGCUGGAGGUGACUGUCCCGGUGCCGGUUCCCCUGUGGAGACCCCCCUGGCUGCUCUCAGCCUCACCCAAUGCCCUUCUUGGCCCUGCUGGACACAGAGCUGCAGACAGAGAUGAAGGAGACAGCGGUAGCCGCAGGCAUUACCCAAUGCAACCCCCAGCCCCCGCCCCUGCCCACGUUGCAUCACAGCCGACCCGAGGAGCCGCAGCUCCCAGAGGAAGACACGGUGGGGCCGAUGCAGAUGCAGCUGGAGAUACAGCCUGGUCUCCCUCCUCUGGGUCAGGUCUCCGGCGCCCUCCCGCCGGCCUGCAGGGCUGCAUUAGGAUGGGGAGUUUGAGCUCAGUUAGAGACCAGCCCCAGAAACGCAGAGAGAGGGUGCAGCGCCGUCCACAGCCCUCUCCCCGCUCUCUCUCCUCCCCUGCCCGCACAGCCAGCAGCCUGGUCCAGCUCUCUGCGUCCCAUCGCCAGGGUAGUAUCCUCCAGGUCUGCGAGCGACAGCAAAUGCACGCGGAUCUGCAGCAAUCUCAAUUCUUGCCUCCUCAGAAGAAAAAUUCAGCUGAGGGGCAGAAGGCAGAAGGAGAGACUGAGGCAAGUUUUAGAGCAGGAGUGAACGAUUAUUAAAAAGCUUUAGAGGCCGGGUGUGGUGGUUCAUGCCUGUAAUCCCAGCACUGUGAGAGGCCAAGGCGGGAAGACCACUUGAGGCCAGGAGUUCAAGACCAGCCUGGCCAAUGUGGUAAAAUCCUGUCUCUACUAAAAAUACAAAAAUUAGACGGGCGUGGUGGCGCAUGCCUGUAAUCCCAGCUACUCGGGAGGCUGAGGCAGGAGAAUUGCUUGAACCCGGGAGGCGGAGGUUGCGGUGAGCCGAGAUUGCGCCACUGCACUCCAGCCUGGGUAACGGAGUGAGAACCUAUCUAAAAAUAAUAAUAAUAAAUAAAAAUAAGCAGCUUUAGAGCAGGAACAAAAUGAAGGCAAG
rnacentral:lncRNA from 1 species